rnacentral:tRNA from 1 species
CCGCCUAUAGCUCAAUGGUAGAGCAGUAGCCUCUUAAGCUAUUGGUUCCAGGUUCGAGUCCUGGUGGGCGGA